rnacentral:snRNA from 1 species
AUACUUACCUGGCGUAGGGGCUACCGUGAUCAAGACGGCGGUUCCCCCAAAGUGAGACCUCUCCAUUGCACUGCGGAAGGGGUUGACCUUUGCGAUUAUCCCUAAUGUGGAUAACUCGGACGCGUUAUUUUUGGUAAUGGGGACUGCGUACGCGCUGUCCCCC